GCGCGCGUAGUUCAGUGGUAGAACGCGUAACUGAUAAUUACGAGGUCGAAGGUUCGAUCCCUUCCGCGCGCACCA
rnacentral:tRNA from 1 species